UCCAGAAUAGAGCCCCUACAUGGGAAUGAUGGGUAGUACAGGCUUCGGAUUGACUUCGGUAUUUAGACUAGUGGCGUUUGCUUCUGGCCCAGUAAGAAAGUGUCUGCGUUCACCCGGUGAACGCAGCGCAAGCGUUAGGUUCACCCAAACGUCACGUCCGGGACGCCACAUCCGGUCUUUGUUUUUUUACGUCCGUGAUGUCACAUUUGGCCUUUUUGGCGGCAUAAUAUGGCAUAUGGCAGGCUCGGAGUGCACGAAGCGGUGGAUCGCUUAUUUUUCGGGCUUUUGCUUCUCGGACCGCCACACCGGCCAGCCAGUGCUACAGUGUCCUAAUGCAGAGAACGUAUAUUACACGGAACUGCGCUCCUUCAGAGUUAUUUAGAGUCUUUGUCAGAAGCACGUAACAGUAACAUUACUUGGUUACGGUGCUGCUACAUGGCAGAAUAUUUGAAUGGCAGAUGUCCCGAGUGCGGCAUGUAAGUACGUACGUACGCGCGCUUGUUUAGCCUAAAUAAGAGUUUCUAUUGUUCCCCAAUGGAAAUGCACAUUCCUGAUGCAUGGUUCAGAUCUGCCGGCUAAGGGCGGUAGUGAAUAAAGUCACCAAAUUGCGGCCUCGUUGCGGUCUCGCAUUGCGGCCUCAUUGCACGGUCGGGAAAAAUUGCUUUAGAACCAAAAUUUCGCUGCGCUGUCAGUAGCCAUUCACUGAUAAGCUUUCUCCGCAGCGUAAU